AAAGUUGAAAGUGGGUGGGAUAUUUCUUUCCCUAGCCAUACACGUAUCCACCCCAAUUUUUCCACCUCUCUUAUCUGAUUUUUGCUGCCCCAAAAGUCUUCACAUUUUUCUCAUUUUCUUGACUGCAUCAGAUCAGAAGUCCAGCCCCUCUCUCUCUACUCCUUUUCCUCUUUCUUUGUUCUUCUUUCUCUCUUCUUCUGUUGCUUCUACAUGGCAGGUCUCCCUUUCUCACCAACACAAUAUAUUCCUCUCUAAAGAUGAAAUUAAAAAAUUAACCCUAAGGUUUCAGCUUCAAAUUGUUGUGGGUGUUACCAGUAUCCAAAUCUAAGCUCCUUCACUUUAGGCUCUCGGUUUCUCUACUUUCAGGUUUUAUUUUGGAGCAGAGGGAGCCUUAGUCGAGUUUUGGAAGGAGCUGGAUUAGUUUUAUAUGUAUAGAUCCUAAAUUAGCAAUAUGAUGUUUAGACUUGAAGCAUUGUUUAUUUUAGGAUCUAAUGAAAUGAUAUACCUUAAAGUAUUAAGAGAUGUAUUAUGUGAAAUUCCGAAUUUGAACAAUUAGUGAAUUAUGUUACUCUUUGGAGUACAAUGUA